rnacentral:rRNA from 1 species
CCUGAGAAACCCAAAAGAUCGAAUGGGGAGAUUCAUCGUCAAGCGUUACUGGUACGUGUGCGGUUCGCGAUGCUCGGGACUUCGGUUCCCGCGGUACGCGUCCGCAUGUUUUUAUUGCCUGGUAACGUCGGCGUGCACUUCUCCCCUAGUAGGACGUCGCGACCCGUUGGGUGUCGGUCUACGGCCCGGGUGGGUGCCUGUCUCGUGUGGCGCUUCACGGCGUCACUGCGGGGCAGACCCCCGGUUGCCUGACCGGCUGCCCGGCGGUACUCGCAAGGUAUCCGGCCGCAAAAAUUUGAACUGCGUCCGGCCCGUCGCAAGCGAGGCAAGUGUUUCCCGAAUGUACGGAUCUAAUGCCGUCAUCGGGCCUGGCCAGCUGUUGGUUGACGGUGUCCUAGGACAGGCUGUAACUUAAUUAUGAUACCGGUCAGCGACGCUACUGCUUUGGGUACUUUCAGGACCCGUCUUGAAACACGGACCAAGGAGUCUAACAUGUGCGCGAGUCAUUGGGAGCUAUUAAGCCUAAAGGCGCAAUGAAAGUGAAGGUCGGCCUUGCGCCGACCGAGGGAGGAUGGGCCGCUCUACGAGUCGGUCCCGCACUCCCGGGACGUCUCGUUCUCAUUACGAGA